GAUCGGAGUUGAUAGUCGGUGGAGAUGAGGAGUCUCUGGGUGAGGGUUUUGCGAUCGGAGGCUAGCUUGAAGUGGGAUUGGGCAAACUGUGGGUCCUCAAUUAUGAGAGAAUGCCACCGUUCCGAAACGGAACUGAAUCGAAUCAGAGGUUGUAUCGGCAACCGGCACAGAAUUUGGACUACAAUUUCUUCAGGAAGGUGGCGGUUGUGGUGGAGCUUCUUCGUCGACAUUGGAACCUUGGAAACGAAUAGCCCACAGACACAGCCAGUGGAAGGGUUUUGGGAAGCUGCUUUUCCGUUUUCAGAGCAUUUCUCGCAAGUUCACAACAAAGGCAUGAGCUUGACCGCUUUUGACUUGAGAUUUUCGUUCGUUUUCUUUUUCCAACUGCAUAAAAUGACGAUGGUACAUGUGGUCAUGACCGUAGAUGCAGUGGUGUUGAACCUGUACGGAGAAUUGCUGAGGCCAACACGUGGAAUUAGAUUUGGCGGGUCUUCAUUGCCGAUUGGAAUAAAAAAAAGAAAAGAAAAGGAAUUUGCUUUGGGUGUCCAGAGACUAAAAGUGUGUGUCCGUAGAAUCAGGGAAAAGGAAUUAUUUUCUGUUUCUCAGUUACCGUCAUUUGAUUUAAUAUGCCUUCAUUCUUUUUGUCAUGAAAAUCAGAACAGAAGAUUUGAAGAAUUAAUUUUCUAUUAUUUAUUAUGUUUCCCUGUUUUCUGUUUAUGAUGGUGUUAAUUAUUUUACGUUUCUGUGUUACUAUUGCAACACCGCUUUCCACGGAUGCAUGAAGGUUUGUAGAAAGAAAGAUAGAAAGAAAAAACAAAAAUAAGGACCCUGUUAAUUAAACACUAAAAUUAACUAAGUAUACUUAUUAUUAAUUUAUUAUCUGUAAGUUUCCUGAGAUUAACACUUUGCUACACAGUUUUUUUCUUCUCACUUUCAUUCCCAACGUUUAUUUUCAUUAUCAAUUUCAUACAUCCAUUAGUAUUUCCGUCAAGCUCUCCGUUAAUCCAUGAUGUGGCGAUCAAUGAGCUUGGAAUUAAUGACGUGGCAUGACUUUGACCCACUGGAUUUGUACCACAUGGACAAACAAUUAAAUAAAUAAAAAUUUAUUUUAACAAAUAUAAAACAUAACUAAAUUAAAAAACUGGUAAAUCAAGGCUUCAAUUCUUUCCUUUUCUUUUUGGCCAAGCAGUUUGUUUCCUACAUUGAUACAUAUAUACGAGUUUGCUAUUCACAAGAAGCAACACAGAAAUCAAACUCUCUCUCUAAAGCCAUCCACGAGUUUGGAAAUAGAGAAGCACGUGAAUAGCAAAUCUCAUAUAUAUGUAUAUUUGGGAAACAUUGUUUGUGUCCUAUUUCUUGAAGGUCAAGUAUGUAUUCAAUAUUCAAUAGGUUUCCUAAUCAUACAUUGACUAGUCUACACACCCUAUAAAAUCCUAACUUCUGUGCCGUUUUGACAACACAAUUUGCUUUCUUGCAUUAUAUUCUCGUUCAAUCUUUCAAUCUUUCAAUCUCUCAAGUGGACGAGCACAAAGAAGAAGAAGAAGACCAAAUGGGGUGGCAUUCAAGCACUGACAGCGACUUUGAUGGCAUCUUCAAUCGCAAGUUGACUAAUAUGGGUUGGUUGCUUGAGAUUGUUAGGUUUGAUACUGAGAAAUAUAUGCAGGAAGACCUUUUGAAGCAAACGAGUAACAUCAACAAAGAACCAAAUUGUCCAGCAGCAGAGAGAGAAUCUGAAAUUGCUGAGGCCGCACACCCAGUUGCCCCAUCCAUGGUGUCGUCUGAGUCCAAGGGAGAAGGUUUGAUGAAGGAAAAGGCAUUCAAGAACCCUGCACUAAUAGAGCCAAAGAAACAAAGAUCAUCGGAUGGACCAAAGCUUAUGCACACUGCUAUUGCUUCUGCGAGAAAGACUAAUUCUUUGAAAAGAAAAUUCCAGAGCAGAGAUGAUGAUGAUAGUACUAAUUGGGCGCCUGUUGAAUGCAAGAAGCAAAGGAUGAUGAUGAUGUUGAAGAAGAAAAAUGCCAAUAAAGGCACCAGCUCGAUCAACAAGAUCACUCCGAAGAAAAAAGAAGAACUGAGUAGUCUUUCCUCAUCAGCUCAUCAUGACUUGCCUGAAGCAUUUAAGAGAAAAAUUGCCAGUUUGGGUGGGACUAAAGUGGCUUUGGUGAUACAGAAAAAACUGAGGAAAACUGAUCUAAGUAAAAGUGGUAACAGGAUGUCAAUGCCUCUGAACCAAAUCUCGUCGACUGAUUUCUUGGAAGACGAUGAGAGAGGUAGGCUUGAGAAAGAGGAGACAAUGAAGGUUCAACUGAUAGACCCUGGUCUUGUACAAGGAGAUAUAAACUUGAGACGGUGGAACAUGAAAAAGAUGAAUGGGAAAAACAGCAAAAUCUAUGUGUUGAGAACUCAGUGGAGUGAUUUUGCUAAGCGAAACCAUCUGAAAGAAAAAGAUCUUGUUCAAGUUUGGUCGUUUCGAGUUAACGGAGCUCUUUACUUGGCUCUUGCUUUGGUUAACGAGAGUUGUGGUGGUGAUCAAAAGGAGAGUGAUGAUGGUGCGUAUAAGAGUAGUGUUGUUGAUGGUGAAAUUAGUAGUGGUGGUAGUCACGGUGGUGCAGAGGUAAUUGAAGAAAGGAGAGAUGGGAAUAAUAUUGGGGAAAGUAGUGUGACCAAUGGGUCUAAUCAUACAAUAAGUCCAAGCCAUAGUGAAAGUGGCAGCAAGCAUGAACAAGCUGCACGCAUGGAAGAUAGAAGACGAAAGGUUUUUUAAAGGCUCACUUUUUCUUUUUAUCAAUUUAAAGGCUCUAACUUUAAAUCUUCUUUUUGUUUGUAAAUAUCAAUCUAACCGAGUUUUCAUCAAGGUUUGAUUUUUAAUACCUAAGAGGUUGGUAUGCCUAAACUCAAUGUUGAAAAUCAUAAUAUAUAUGUCAGUCAAAAAAACAAAUGGUUGAAAUUUAAUUCAGUCCCAAAGAAAAACAGAAAAUCUUUGAUCUUUAAUUACUGUGCAUGAAAUAUACCUAAGGUUUUUAUUAUCACAAAACGUUCAUGAAGUUCACGAAAUUAUCAAGUUGCGUCAUUUAUGGUUUUUUUUGUCAUCGCAGAACGUCCAUAAAGUUCACGAAAUUAUCAAAUUGUGUCAUUUAUGGUUUUUUUGUGUCACUACCUGUCUCCUACCACAACAAUCCGUUUGACACCCAUUAAGAAACCUACGAUCACCACCCCCAACCCAAAAACAUUUAUCAAGACACCCAUUUACUGCAUCCGAUCAUGGGAUGCAUUGUCAGUUUGAUUUUCAGGUGGGGACCAAUAUUUGCCAAAGUGACAAGUUCGCAAAAGAUGGGCAUCUCAAAGGCUUAGUAUCAGUUUCAAUUGCUGAGACUUGAAAUUUGUAGAUGAGAUAUGCUCUAGUGACGACACAAACAAAUUAACUCUAACUACAAUGAAAUCACAGCAUUUACAGACGGAUUCCAAACAGAACCCUUGGCUUGGGUGGCUAGUUUGGGUGACUACAGUGGCUUGGGUGGCUAGGUUGGUGGGGUGUGGGAGGUGGCUGGGUGGUUGUUUGUUUUUGGUAUUGGCGGGGUAAGUCGGGGGAGGGGGCUGGGAGGAGAGAGGAAGAAAUCUUUUUUUCUUUAUUUUUAAUAUUUAAUUCUACUUGAAAAACAAAGAAUUUUUAUUUUUUACUACUAAUUUUUUUUUGUCCACAUGUCACUGUGUUAUUGGAUAUAAGAUCAUACAUCAGCAAACUAAGCUCAUGGCAGGGACCCCUUGUGAGUACGAGUGUUGAUCUUGACAACUGUUAGUGACAAAAAACACAAAGGAUGCAACUUGAUAAUUCGUGACGUGAUAAAAAACCCUAAACGUAAACAAAUUCGGAGAGUGUGAGCAUUUAUGCCAGUCCCAAGUAGUGUGGUAAGUUCCUAUUAAUGUGACUGGCAGUGAAGUGAAGUCUGCUGUUACCAAAGUGUUAGUUCCUAUUAUUUCUGACCUAAACAAAGCAAGAAGUAAGGAUCACUCGUGCCUACAUCUCAUCUUUCCUUUAUGAUAAUUUGUUGUCACCCUCCCUCCCAUAUAAACUAAACAAAAAGCAGAAAAUGUAAAAUUGAAUGGCAUAGACUUUAAAGAAUAGCAGGAUAAAAAACGUAAGUCAUUAAAGGCAGCAAUCAACAGCAAAGCAAAUAUGGCUCAUUUGAUAGCAGCAAGCUACCCCAGCAUUAACAUAUCAGGAAAACUCUGCGCAGAGAUUUCAUGUGGAUUUACUACUACUCUUUCUAGACCAGCUAGGAGGACUAAAUUGAAAAUGAUUCAUUUUGAGGGGCAGUUUGAGAGAUCAGAAAGUAAUGCUAGUUGUUGUGUGGUGCAUUGCUGCAGUACCAGUUCAUCAAGCUCAUCAGCUGCUGAGGAAGUUGGGUUUCUCAAAUUCAAAUCCAAAUGAGACGCGCAUUCAAUCUCCUUUGACUGGCAUGGGGUGAAAUGAAAUCAUUAGAAUUGGUCACAGACAGGCAGGCAUGAAAAAAUUGAUCUCACAGGUUCCUUUUGAUUAAGGUGCAAGGGUAUGUCUUAACAAACAUGCAGUGCGUAUAAUAUUCAUGGACUGAGAAAUUUCAUAACAUAGAAUAUGAACAAGUUAAUCUUGUGGUGAAGCAUGCUGGACUGAGAAAUGCUCAAGGCAUAUUCCAUCAUCAGUUCAUCUUGUGUUGUGAAGCCAACAUCUUUGUGAAGACGCCAUUGCACUAGUGCAGGGACUACAAAGAUUGCAAUGGUAAAACAAGUUUUUUUUUUCUUUUUCAAAUUCAAAUCCAAUUGACAAAGAUGUCCAAUUGCAAUGGUAUGAUUGUAGAUCAAAAGCUGGUAAAACAAAAGAAAGGAAACCUUGUAUGACUGUAAAUCAAAAGUGUCCAUUUGAAACAAUUUUUGCCCUGCAUGUCUGGUGGGUCUCUGUGAGAUAUUUGAAUUAAGUGCAGAGGAACAUUACAAUGCUUUCAGCAUCAGCAAUUCAACUAAGAAAUAUCUGCCUCAUGCAAGAUUGAUGGCAGGAACAACAACAAUGCUUCAUAUUUGAUAAUUUUUGGCAACUCCAAUAGUCAAUACCAACAAACACAAAACAUAUACAAGGACAAUAAUAAACUCUCCAAAUCAAGCUUCAAAAUCCAAAUUAUACAAUUUGAAGUCCAUAACAGAAAUAGUCAAAGCAGUUGGUUUUUUAUUUACUGGGCUGUGAUGUGAGGAGGCUAUGGUGUUACUGCACUCUCAAUCUUUCCCAAUCUGCCACCUCAAGUAAAGGAGUGUUUCUAUAGGGUGACUUCACGUUUAUUCUUGGCAUUAAAAUAAUUUCCAGGUUCAUGCUUUUGGUUUUAGGGGAGAAGAAGAAUCAAUUAAUUCCUUCUUAAUCAGCAUUCUUCUUGGUCUUUCCCUUAAAAUUCAAACCCACAAAACAAAAACCCUAAUAAACUUUUAUACUUCUUAAUCAAUAUGAUAAUAACAUGCGUUUUCUCUAUAAAAAAUAUAUGUAUUAGCAUGCAUGGGCUUAGUCAAGUCGGCUAGAGCGGAUAUGCUCCCCACUCUACACCCGAGUUCGAAUCCCCAUCGCCGUAGUUUAGAUUAGAUUAAAGUUGAAUAUCGCUUGUAUAUAAAAAAACAUGUAUUCACUCCAACAACAUGUAUUCACAUUGACUUUGUUAUGACUAUGAAAGAGGUUGCCAUUCCUUUGUUGCAAGCCUAUUUAUAAGCCUAGUUCUUGGCUUCAAAAUCAUUUCCAUGUUCGUGCUUUUGGUUUUUUGUGGAGAAGAAUCAAUUAAUUUAUUCUUAAUAAGUCUUAUUCUUUCCCUAAAUUCAAACCCACAAAACAAAAACCAGAAUCAGUUUUUUACUACCUUGUUUUUCGGUCUGAUUUUUUACUUUUUAAUCAAUACGAUAAGAACAAGUAUUGUAAUCCAAUAAUAGUUGGGAGAAAAGUUGGGUUUCCUUAAAAAAUUUAUGUCUCACAUUCAUUUUGUUAUCAUUGAGGUUGCCAUUCAUAUUACAAUUUCAACUUGGCCUGCUUCCGAGCAAAAGAGAUGCCAUUUUCAUUCUCCUUUAAAUUUCGUUUUCUGUUUUUGCUUUGGUUAUUAUAUCUUCGGUUAAAUUUAUUUAAAUCCUAGUGUGUGACCAUCUUUUAUACUUCUAGGUUGGAACAUAAUUAAAUUACUCCAAUAAUAAUUUGGUUUCCUUAAGCAAAUUACGGAUCACACUUAUUGAUUAUAAUUGUUCUUGUUCCUAAUGAAAUUGUCAUUCAUAUGUUUCUUUUUCUUUCUCAAACAGUUUGUACUUGACAUAAGUUACAACACACUCUUCACCUCAACUAAAAAUGUUCAUUGUUUAAGCUGCCCCUAAUGUAGGAAAAAAUAAAUAAAUAAAUAAAAAACUAUGGAACAAAAAUAAAGGAUUUAUACUAAGCAGAGUACAUAUGAUACUGAAACAAGCAGACACACCAUACUAUAUCAGAUAACAUUUGUUUUCAUCAAGGCCAUUUGUUCGGACUAAAUUUUCAAACCAGGCUGUUGUUUAUUAACACAAUCACCUUCUAUUUCAUCCUAAAAUGUCCUACGUCCACCACCCUUGCAGAACAAGGCAACUCUGUUUUUUUCCUACAGGAUGAAGAAAUUGAGCUUUACUCAAAGUUCCCACUCUCUCUUAUUUGCCACCUUCUUCUGUGCUCACAUCACAUGAAUUGGGAAUAUUUUCAUCAUCAAUGGCCUCUCAAUUAAAAGAAAAGAAAGCUUGUAUGAUCAAAAUUCAGUAAUGUACAAUCGACAAGGGGUCUGUUGGCAUGUUUUCAAAUUCAAAUACAUGAUGAAGGCAGGCACAUCAUUAGAAACAUCACAGGAAUAUUACAAUGCUUUUACCAUCCAUCAGCAAUUCAACUAAGAAAAAUCUGCUUCAUGCAAGAUUGAUGACAGGAACAACAACAACAACACUUCAUAUUUGAACAUUUUGGCAACUCAAUACAAGCAAACACAGAGUAUAGAGAUGUGACAGAAACAAAACAAACAUAAGGACAGACAAUAAUAAGCUCACCAAAUUAGGCAUCAAAAUCCAAAUUACCAGAGUCCUCUCCAUGGUUAGUUAGGUACUGAAAGCAGAGUCUCAUUGUAUUUAAUCACGUCAUACACUGCCCCAUCCCCAUCAUUGACGUUAAAUGGGGUACUGCAAACCGGCUCCGCUUCUCUGUGGCAUUCAAUCCUCACCACUAUGUCCCAAUCCCACCUCAGCCUGAAUAUAACUGUACCACCUUCAGUAACGAAACAGGCUUCAUAACCGUGGAAAUUCCCACCCAACGAUUUAGAUACAUCAUUCGUGUUAAAUUUAAAGAGCACAUUCCAAGAUUCACGCACCCCAUAUUCUCUCAUAACCCAGAAUUCCAUGAAAUUAACACCACCACGUCUCCUAGUAAUCGAAACACAGAGGCAUUCUUCUCCUUCUCCUCUUGAAACUACUUGAACCCCCAUCUGAUUAACAUCAAUGUCAUCGGCAUCACCAUCAAAAGUGGGGAAUGGAACUUCCCUGAAUUCCUCCUUUGCCAGAUCAAAAGCAAGGAUCGUUGGCUCCUCCUCACCGACUCUGGAGUAGAACCAAUGCAGUGCUUCAUUUGUAAGGGCCCCCAAGCUAGUGGUGGUGGGGCUUCUGAAAGAGCAUGGUGGGUCGUGCCCACGGACUUGAAUGCGUUUCCAAGAGUUCAAUCUGGAUGAGAAAAUCUCCAUAAACUUCUGGAAAGGUGUAGAAUAAACAUAAGCAUCUAUGAAGAUUUUGUAGUCGUCAGUGGAUGACACAUAUCCCAGGCCAGUACGGUCAAAUUCAGAUCUAACCUUUUCUGUAUUCGCCACAGACACAAAAUAUGGGUCAGGCAAUUCGCGUUCGAAUCUGGUUGAUGGGUUCCAGAGAGACAAGCUAUGAUUUUCAUAACCAUCAACAUCUACAAAUACCAAACCAUUACAGGAGCCCAGUAGGUUGGUAUAGGUGUGGAAGGUGAUAUUACUGAGCGAAGAAUCGUUGUCUGCGAACGACGGCGUUUCCGGGUCCAAGGAUCGGAGUUGAUAGUUGGUGGAGAUGAGGAGUCUCUGGGUGAGGGUUUUGCGAUCGGAGGCUAGCUUGAAGUGGGAUUGGGCAAACUGUGGGUCCUCAAUUAUGAGAGAAUGCCACCGUUCCGAAACGGAACUGAAUCGAAUCAGAGGUUUUAUCGGCAACCGGCACAGAAUUUGGACUAUAAUUUCUUCAGGAAGAUGGCGGUUGUGGUGGAGCUUCUUCGUCGACAUUGGAACCUUGGAAACGAAUAGCCCACAGACACAGCCAGUGGAAGGGUUUUGGGAAGCUGCUUUUCCGUUUUCAGAGCAUUUCUCACAAGUUCACAACAAAGGCAUGAGCUUGACC
rnacentral:lncRNA from 1 species